rnacentral:lncRNA from 1 species
CAGAGUCACGGAAGGCUCUGGAGGAAAUGGGAGCUGUGAAGUCAGAGAAAGGGGCUCCCCCACCCAGGGGUCAAGAGGAUGGGGUCUUUGAAUUUUGUUUUUUUUGUUUGUUUGGCUUGGUUAAAAAGAAUUUUUUUUAAUAGAAACAGUGUCUUGCUACAUUGAAUCCAUUGGAACAGGUUAAGGGAACGCGAACCACAGUCAUUCAGUGGAGCUGCCCUGGCCUGCUGGCUGGUGGAUUUCUGGGGCACUUAGCUGUUUGUUAUUUCUGGGGCACUUAGCUCUUUAUUAUCCUAGGAUCUCAGAAGAAUAGAACAAGAGUUAUCUAUUGAGCAAAAGCCUAUCACAUGCCAGGAUUUUACCUACAUUCUCUCUAAUCCUCCCACCAACCUUGCAAGGUCAGCAUGAUAUCAGCAAGAUAUCAAUGUCACCAUUUUUAUACAGCUGAGGAAACCUGAUUUCAGAGUGGGAGUGACUUGCCUGAUACAACAAGGUUCAUGUAAAUAGCAGAGUCAAGAGCCUCCUAAGCCGGAGGCCACAGGGACUCAGCUCAUCAGCUAUGGUUAGUGUUAGUGUACUUUAUGUGUGACCCAAGACAAUUCUUCUUUUCCCAAGGUGCCACAGGGAAGCCAAAAGAUUGGACACCCUGUUCUAGAUCAUCCCAUCCAGUAGUGUUCAAACUUUUAUUUUUACAGCUAAAUUCCUCAAGCAGAUGGGCUCCUGUGUGGAAUCACAAUGAUGCUGGUUAAGAUUCACUGAAUGCUUGCUAUAUAUCAGGCUCUGUUUGGAGCCCAGCAUAUAUAUAUAUAAUCUCAUUUAAUCCCACAGUACCUGAUGAGGGAGGUACUGCUGUUUGUCCCAUUUAUUUUUUAUUUAUUUAUUUUAUUUUAUUUUUUUUGAGAUGGAGUUUCACUCUUGUUGCCCAGGCUGGAGUGCAAUGGCGCAAUCUCGGCUCACCACAACCUCCGCCUCCCAGGUUCAAGCAAUUCUCCUGCCUCAGCCUCCCAAGUAGCUGGGAUUACAGGCACGCACCACCAUGCCCGGGUAAUUUGGUAUCUCCAUGUUGGUCCCAAGAUAAAGGCAGACAGAGAGAAUGAGAGAGAUGAGACAGAGACACGCAGAAACUAACAAGGGGGUCAGAGAAUGAAAGAGAGACAGAAGGACACAGGAGCUCCCAAAGGCCAAAUCCAGGAAGAUCAGAGCAUCAAAAUACAUGAUGAUAGGAAUGGCUUAAAUGCGUCUUUGCUGACGAUCAGAAAUGCAGUCAUCGCCACAUAAUGACAGUGGUCCCAUAA